CCUACGGGAGGCAGCAGUAGGGAAUGUGCGUCAAUGGGCGCAAGCCUGAACGAGCAAGGCCGCGGGAAAGAGGAAGGUCGUCGGAGCGGAAAGGUCGGUUGGAGGGGAAAAAGAGCGGAGAGAGGAAAUGCUUUCGGAUUGAUAUUACCAUUCGAGGAAGUCACGGCUAACUACGUGCCAGCAGCCGCGGUAAUACGUAGGUGGCGUGCGUUAUCUGGAUUGAUUGGGCGAAAAGGGUGCGGAGGCGGCCUGAUACGUCUGGGGUAAAAGGUACCGGCUCAACCGGUACCGGCACUGGCAACUGGCAGGCUAGAGCGCAGGAGAGGGCGGUGGAACUCCAUGUGUAGCGGU
rnacentral:rRNA from 1 species